GAAUGCGAUACUUGGUGUGAAUUCAGAAUUCAGUGAAUCAUCGAAAUCUUUGAACGCACAUUGCGCCCGCCAGUAUUCUGGCGGGCAUGCCUGUCCGAGCGUCAUUUCAACCCUCGAACCCCUCCGGGGGGUCGGCGUUGGGGACCUCGGGAGCCCCUAAGACGGGAUCCCGGCCCCGAAAUACAGUGGCGGUCUCGCCGCAGCCUCUCCUGCGCAGUAGUUUGCACAACUCGCACCGGGAGCGCGGCGCGUCCACGUCCGUAAAACACCCAACUUUCUGAAAUGUUGACCUCGGAUCAGGUAGGAAUACCCGCUGAACUUAAGCAUAUCAAUAAGCGGAGGAAGCGAGGCUACCCGCUGAGUUUAAGCAUAUCAAUAAGCGGAGGAA
rnacentral:rRNA from 1 species